AGAACGAACGCUGGCGGCAUGCCUAAUACAUGCAAGUCGAACGAACUCUUCGGAGUUAGUGGCGCACGGGUGCGUAACGCGUGGGAAUCUGCCCCUUGGUUCGGAAUAACAGUUGGAAACGACUGCUAAUACCGGAUGAUGACGAAAGUCCAAAGAUUUAUCGCCAAGGGAUGAGCCCGCGUAGGAUUAGCUAGUUGGUGAGGUAAAGGCUCACCAAGGCAACGAUCCUUAGCUGGUCUGAGAGGAUGAUCAGCCACACUGGGACUGAGACACGGCCCAGACUCCUACGGGAGGCAGCAGUAGGGAAUAUUGGACAAUGGGCAAAGCCUGAUCCAGCAAUGCCGCGUGAGUGAUGAAGGCCUUAGGUUGUAAAGCUCUUUUACCGAGAUGAUAAUGACAGUAUCGGAGAAUAACGCCCCGGAUAACGUCCGUGCCAGCAACCGC
rnacentral:rRNA from 1 species